ensembl:antisense Gm38336 predicted gene, 38336
AGAGGGCCUGAUGGUAUAGGCCUCAGAGAGGAAAGGAUGGGUCCACAAAGUGCUGUCAGGUUGUCUGAUGGAUGCUGGCUCACUUGCGGAAAGGCGCCAGUCUGCUGAUGCUGUGCCAGAAGUUAGAUGGCUUCCGCCUGGGCUCUGCUAGCACCAACACUUGCUGCUGGGGCCGGCUGGCAGGCAAUGAUGGAUGCUUGUGGCGGGUCAGGUAUCCUGGCCUUCCCACAGCUGGACAGAGGAGAGAGAGACACCAGGGGUCACAAGGGUAGCAGACAAAGGGGCCUGUUUGUGGGUUCUGCUGUAGAUCUUCCAUAGAGUAGUAGCCACACAGGACUUGCUUCCUAAGGGGCUAACCACAGCACACACGAUCCCUGGGUAUCAAUAGUUUUUGGCCUGGCCUGGCCUACUGCAGCCUGAGGACUGGCCAGGGCCACGGUCCAAGGCAUGGAAUGUCUGCCUCUAUCUAUGAAGUUGGGAGAGAUGGCUUGUUCACAGGCGGCUGGGACACACUAUCAGCAGCCUAGGGAGGUAAGCUCUAAUUCCUGGUGUCUCCUGGAGGUCAGAGAAGUCAAGCAAACACUGUCAUCUCUCUCAUCUCUCUUACCACCCUUGAAAACAGACGCCUAUAAAGGGUGGCCAGUGGACCUCUCCAGGGAUAUGGAUGGCUAGCUGCCAUUGCUUUGGAGAAGGAAACGCAGUCAAGGCUGGCACUGCCCAGGGAGUAAGAUGCUUCCCCAUUUACCUUUAGGCUUCCCCGUGGCCUGCUGCUUGCUGGCGUUCAGCAUGGCCUGCUUCCUCUGCAGCUCGGUGAUGGAGAAGCCUGGAGGAAGGACACAUGUGAGACCCCACCUUGCCUUCAGCUGCUCAUGUGCCUCCCUGGAGGGCUUUCUAGUCCAGGUGCUAUCCUCCUGUGCCCCAUUCCUAUCAUGCUUGAGACAGCCUGGCAUGGCAGGGACUUCCCUCACCUGCUCAGCCAUUCUGUCUUGCCAGCCAAGGGAGAGAACGAAGCUCCCUGAGCCACUGUCUCAUUUCUGUCUCUGCCAGAGCCACUGACUCUACCCCUUCCCACUUCUCUAAUACCUAGCUUCUUCACCCCUAUAGAGGCUACCAAACCAAAGCAUGAAGCUGGUGACCAAGGAACAGGAAAGGAUGGGAAAGGCUUCUCUAGUUAGUACCCACCCCAUGUUCUCCAGGGCUCGGUGGGAAGGGGCUCCCCCAGGUCUCAACAUGGGCACAUAAUAGUGAGCUACUCCCAUCAGACUCAGUCAAUAGGGUUGACCACAGGAAUGGCCAUUUCUACCAGGCGGGGGUGGGCCCCAGUGGCUAGGCAAGGCCCAGCAGGUUCUCCCACCUGUCUCCUGGUCCAGCCGCACCUGCUCCCUCUCUCUGGCAAAGGCCUUCAGCCAGCGCUGCUUCUGUUCUGGCUUCCUGGCACACAGUAGGUGGCUGUCCCCCGUGGUACCACAGUACAGACGGAAGGCGUUCUUGACACUCACAUGGAGGUCUCGGUCCUUCCCAUCUUCCACAUCUACCACCUCCAGGUCAUCCAUGUCCAGCCGGCCCUUGUAGUACAGCACGUCCCGGCGAAGCAGAUCCUGCCAGAUGCUGCCCUGAGCCCUGGCUCAUGUCCAGGGUCCAUGCCCACCUCCCCUCCAGGCCACUGACUGACAGGACAGUCUAAUCUUUUGAGGUGCACAUGGUCUGGUGGGCAGAAAGCCUCAGAAACUAAAGCAGCGGUCCAUAUGGUGCAGGAGAGAGCAGAGAGAACAAGGAAGGCUUCGUGCAUGGGGCCACUGUGCCAUGGUUUGAAAGAAGCAGAAGCUAGCAGUAAGGAGGCCAGAGGCUGCUGGGAUCAGAGAAAUCAUGAGACAGAGGCAAAGGCUUGCAGAGGGAGACUUGAUCUGAGGAGUGGGCAGUGACCAGGUCGGGGGGAGGGGGACGUUCUCAACAGCACACUAUUCAAACAGCUACCCCCAGUGUCCCUGGGCUCAUCAUGGAGAGCCUGUCCUAAGGGCCCAACUGGGGCUCUACUCCAUGGGACUGGUCUGGCAAGGCAGGGUGGUUCGGAUACCUUUUUACAGUAGAUGAGCUGGCGGUCGAAGAGAAAAAACAUUCUCUGCUGACUCCUGGCUUGAGGCUGUGUCACGCGGGUCAGCUCCCCCGAGUGGAUGAGUUCCGAGCUCCUGACCAGAAGGUCUUCCCCCUGAGUGAACCCCAAGGAGAGCCAUGAGGGAAGUGUGCCCAAGCUUAGGCUCUACUUCCUGCCUCCGUGGGCGAGUGGGCAAGGUAAGAGGAACACUCUUCAAGCCCAAAGGCAGCCUUGCAAGUGUGGCUGCGGGAGGAGAGAAAGGUAGGUCUGACCCACCCCUGUCGUCAUAGCCACCCCUGUCAUAGCCACCCCUGUCGUCAUAGCCUUCGGUGGCUGGCGAGCAUUGGGGAUCUGAGGUCGCUGAAGUACACUGUAAUUUCUCAAAGAGUAUGAAACUGUCAAAAAUGUUUGUUGGUUACAGUUGAAAUAUUUUGAUCUAUUGAGCUAAAUAAAAUCCUAAAGUUCA